ACAUGCCUACAGCGUAGCGUUAAUGCACUGAAUCCCAGUAGAGCUCUAUAGUUAAGCACUCUCGGGCUAGAGUAGUGCUAGGAUGGGUGACCACCCAGGAAGUCAUAGUGUUUUACAUGCC
rfam:Picea glauca, whole genome shotgun sequence.